rnacentral:tmRNA from 1 species
GGGGGUGCCCGGUUUUGACAGCAUAGGUCUUUGAAAGUGUAAGCAUGUACUGCGUUGCGUAAUUAGCAGUAGAAUCUGAAUACGAAAACUAUAAAUGGCAAUACACAAUUUGCCAUGGCUGCCUAAUCAGUGAUUAAGUAGUCAUUCGGGCCGCCGGACAGGUUGGCUUGUUACCGCGUCCCGCCGCCGACUUAAAAACAAAACAAGUUGCUGUAACCAUAGGCUGUGCCGGUUGCAUAAGACGAUUCAGCUACGGAAAUUAUCGGUUGUUCAUUUCUUCCGAAGGAUAACUUCGGGGCCAGUCGUUUCCCGACAAUAUAAAAUGAAAUAAACAUGUAGAAAGCUUUUUAAGAAUAUGUUUGGACAGGGGUUCGAUUCCCCUCACCUCCACAA